CCUGCCUUGCAGCUCUCGCGGUGCACUGAUUUUGUGGCUAGGAGGAGACGUUUAGUAGAAAGCACACAGGACCUGGAGCCAUGUGGAAUCUGUGGUCUACACCGCUCCCUUUUUCAUACCGAUUCACUGGAAAGAGUAAGAUAAACUGCAAAAUCAUUUUUAAGCCAGUCCUCCCCAGGCUACGAAGGAUCGCUGGCUAUUCCAGACGGGGUCACUGGUGUUAUCCAGGAGAAGAACAAGAGCUGAGGCACUGGAUUUCAUCCUGCUCUAAGCUCCCGCAUCAUUCCCAGCCACCGGUAGAGCUGAAACGCUCUUUCAAGAGCAAGCAACAAGAUAGAUGCUGCCCCGCCAUGCAAUGUGAGCUUGUGGUUUUGUUUGAUAGCCCAGACCUUUAGCAGCCGUAUUCCCUGAAAUGAGACUUUGCUUUUAGCAUUGACUUUUUUGUUUUACGCAGCCCUUGCAUUAUCUUCUCAGAUUUGCGCAUCCUGCCAAGUGCUGGGGGCUUGCACCUUAUUAAUAACCCAGGAGAUUCGCUCCUCGCUAAGUUCUAAUAAAUUCCCUUCACUUCUGCAGCAUCCUUUGUUCUGGAGGCGUCCUAGGGCUUUGUACACAGCUGGGCCAAACUGAUACCAGGUUUUACUGAGCUACUGCCCCCUCCCCUUGCUCACCAGCGAUGCCAGCCUUGGCUGUAGGUUCCUCCCCAGCACGGAUGCCUUUAGGCUCUCUGAUGCUAUCUUGUUUCCUCCUUUCAUCCUACCCUUGCUACACUACUCUCAGAUCACUCCUCUCUGCCACUGGAUGGGCAAGUGGUGAGCUCUGACUCCUGUUGUGCUACGAAACUACUUGUUUUGUUACUUCCUCCUCACCAUGCUCAUCCAUGUUGCUCUCCCCUUGCUUCCUGCCCGCCACCUAGGCUGGCAGCACUCCAAGGAAGGAGUCAUGUCCUGCGGGAACUCCAUAGAGCACCUGGCACAGCAUCUCCCUAAUCCCCGAGUAGGGCGUCUAGCCAUCACCAGAAUGCAAACCGCAUACACGAACGACUAACAAAAUUACUGGGAGACUUGGCUACAGGUGAUAUAAAUCACAAAGUCAUUUCUCACUCUGCCAUACUGGCUUGAUUAGGAAAAAAUGGCAAUUUUAAGUGAAACAGUUUAAAAAUUAAUGCAAUUAAAGUCAUAAAUAUGAUAUAGCAGUAUCGUUAUAAUAAUUUACUAAUAGUUAGGCUGUCUGUUAAACAUGAGAUUGCCCUAUGAGUAACAGCUCAGUCACACGGCUGACCUGAAGAAGAGAUCCUGGAGCUCUGAGCGCAGGAAGGGCGACUCCGUGUACCUGCAUAGCUCCCAUUGCCCAAAGAUCUCAAACCGCGCUCUGGACACUUGGCUAGCCUGCACUCGACCUGUCUGAAGUAGGGGGUUGCAGCCCCAGAUUUUACUGGUCAGGGGACAGAGCUGGGAGUGCCCUAAUGCCUCAUCCAGGGCCUGAAGCUCCAGGAACACUUCUCCCUUGGUGUUUGGUUUCAUAUGGCUCUGUCCUGCCAGGUGCUGCGGACAUCUCAUGGUCUUCGACUUUCCCUGUGGGACUGGGCCCCUGAUGGGUUAACUGAAUAGCUGUGCACAGAAGACAUUAAAGGACGAUGUAGUUUCACAUAAUUACUCGAGAUGCAUGUAUGAACAGGAGCCCAGAAAUGCCUCGGUAAAUUGUAUGUUGCACUGCAUUCUUACCCCCGGGUUUAUUCUUACACCCGCAGCCGGGAUCAAACCACAUUAACGAUGAGAAACGAUCCUUCAUGGCAAGGGCUGGUUUGCAAGAACUUGCAAGCGAACUUGGGAGCUCCUGAACCUUGCACUCCAUUCUCCUCUCACCCCAGAGGCAAUAUGCAGCAGUCAGGGGUGCCACUCCUGACUUGCCUCCAUGUCUGCGAGAGGGGGCUCAGGCCUCCUCCUUCCAUCUGUAACUGGGCCUCCAGACACUGCAAGCCACUGUAACUCUGUUGGCUUCCACGGAGUUACACCAGCUUUCCCUGGCCCACUCAGACUGACAUGCAGAAGAUGUAACACUGGCCACUCUGCAAGGCCUCUAUUCAGCAAGGCACGGAGGGUAUACUUACUGGGCAGGCAGAGGUCGGUCUCACUACCAAGGCACUACGCCUGGCCCACUCACUCCAAGCAUGGGGGCCCCAGCAAUGAGGUGGUGCGGACACUCAGGGGGUGUCCUGGCACCCGGGUUUCCAUCCUGCACAAGGGCAGGUCCUUGGGGCACGCUCGCCAUCCCUCCCUGGGGUUUGUGCGUGAGCAGCAGGAAGGCAGGACCGUCACCUCGCUGCCAAGGCGGAGAGCUCCGUCACUACGGCGUAGACAUACUUUGAGUGGGACUCGGCUUUGGGUGGAGGAUGUCAGCGAGACUCCUCGCAGACUUUAAUUCAAGCAUGUUCUUAAGUGCUUUGCUGGACUGAGACCUAAAGCACGGCCUCCUUAAUGGAGAGCAAGUGUCUUUUUGGUAGAUCUGGCUUUUGUGGGUUACGUUAUUUAAGUCUCCUAGAGACGUGCAACCAACAACCACACAGUGUAUGAUGUAAACAGCGGGGAGAAAGCAGCAUGUUCCUUUGGACCUCAGCUCAGUCCAAGCAUUUUCUUUUCCUGUCAUUUGUCUCCAUUAAAAGAGUAAAUAGGACAGGGAAGUGAGGAAGGAGCUGGAUGGCCUCAGUCCAGAAGAAGCAUGACUGCUCAAUAAAGUCAUCCCGAGGCAGCUGACUUGGCUGUCAAACAGAGACACGGUUCUUAGCAAAAAUGCAUGAGAAAGAUCUUGCCCCUUUCUUGGCUCAAGCGGGUCAUACCUGAAGCGAGCACACAUUCGAGCGGCGUCAAUGAACUUUGUGGCUUCUAACUAGAGCUGUUCAGAGGAUGGGAGGGUGGGGCAGGGCAGGGCCGUCACCAAAAACAUACCAACAGAGACUUCAAAAGAAAAAAGGCCUUCACUGAAAACUUUCCACAAAGAGAACAGAGUUGUAAUAGAAACCUUGAAAAAUGAAAACUUUCAGCCAAGAUCAAAAGUGCCAGGCAGGAAAAGUCAACGCAAAGUAAUUUUGCCUCAGGUCAGGUCAACCCCCACUGAAAUCUUCCCGGGCAGCUGAGCAGUAGACGCCGUCCUCGCGUGCUGCCGCGCUCGCUGGGGGCCCCGAGCCCCGUCUCUCUUCCACGGGCAUGUCGACGGGGCACGCUGGGACCAGCACAGAGGUCAGUAAGAACAGAGGCCGUUAAGGGACAGCUGCAAAGCCAAGGGCACCCAACAGAACUGCCUGCCGUCCCAAUCUUGUUUCACGCACCAGGGAUCUGGGACCCUAUUAAAAGCCAGUCAAGACUCAUCUCCCUUUUCCCCAGUCAUUGAGAUUGUGUUCAAGUAAAUGCAUUUAAUCCAUAGCAAAUGUUUCCUGAUUCACCAGGUACAUGCAAAACUGGCGGGGCUCUUUAUUGAGGUGGGAUUUCGUUAUUAAAGGAAGCCAACUGCUGCUGAAAAAGGAAAAAACCCAACCCUUUUUCUUAAUUAAAAGAAAACCAUUGCAGCAAUUACCAGCCAGCUAGAUUGCUAUAAUACCCUCAGAGGCGUGCACAGGCCCCUUGCUGCUAGAGAUCAGUGCUGCAGGCAGGUUGUGCUGCCCGGAAGAGGGGACGGAGCAUUUAACCAGAGGUACCAGGCGGGGGGGAUGAGGAGGGGGACAUAGUCCUGGUGCCACGGACAAACUUGAAUCCACAGAUUUAGAUUCAACCUCCCUAAAUUCCCCUGCUUUUUGACAAGCAGCUCCUCUGUCCCACAGAGCCAAGUAGUGCAACUCUCAGGUACCGAGCCACCGCUGCGCUUCACCCCAGAAGUGACUGCAUUUCAGGCUUCGGUACUUGCUUUGCCCGGGUAAGGAUGGUGACGCUCAGGUUUCUUUCGUAAUACUCGCUACCGUGGGAUGUGACAGUCUUCCAGACUUAAGAGUUAUUCAAUAUUUCCUCUCCACUCCCUGCCUGAGAAGAGGAUGGGUCUAAAGGAAUGAUAAAUCUUUAUAGUUUAAGUACUUUAUAAGCUUAAAAUUGCCAUCAUUUGUUCCAAUGUAAUGUGCACAAAUAGCUUUCUGUGAAGUGGUGAGGUCAUCCAUUUAUUUAAAGUUAAUGUUGCUUGCUUUAUGUGCAAUAAUAUUUAUUGCUUUAUCUAGCCUUAUUUCCUGUAAUUUUUUUUUUUUUUAACAUUUCCCAUUUUUAGUCAUUCCUGGUCAAACAGAGAUGUUCCAUAUUUAUAUCUAGCUUAGGAUGAGCAGGAAAAAGGAAAAAAGCCUAAUAAUAUCCCAAACGACAACCUCAGAGGAGCGCUUAAGCAACUAGCCUGGUCUUAAUUACGCAAACAUCCCAAGUUCAAGUUUUAUUCAUCCCCUCUGAGAAACUAUUUUUGCCAAGAUAAAGCUCUGGAACGGCACUGCACUGCGCUGGCAUAACGCGCCCUGCAUCGAGCCUGAAACGAGCUUCCAAGAAGCAGCUGCUCCACUAUUUAUUCUCUCUUCCUAGAGGGGUUCCCCCCCCAAACUGCAUAAAAUUGUCAUAUGUUAAACCAGAAGCAACCGUUCCCCGUUAUCAUUCCCUGGGGCAGUGGCGUUUGCUUCUCAGCAUGUGCACUUGGGCUACGUGGAGGAGAAGGGCCCAUAUUCCCCACUGACACCAACAAGGAAGAGUUCAAGCAGGCAGAGGCAAUCAGGGGCCCCAGAAGCCGCGGUCCUGCAGCAUUCGACCUCCUGCCCCCUCCACGGGGCUGGGGCUGGACAGGCGAAACCAUCAGGCAACAGGGCAACUAUUUCUCCACUUUAAAAGCAGCAGGGAUUUCCUUGUGGAAAAAAGCAGGCUUUUUCUAUCUGCAUCAUCAUCUACAAAAUCCUACUUGGGGCUUUAACAAAGCCCUCCCUCGCGCAGGGGGACGGGGGAGCAGCGGCUGGAGCAGGGCCAGAGAAGCAAAGCUUCUGGAGGAAGCAUCCUGCCACCACGCAGAAGUGGAAGAGUGGCUCCAGAAGUAGAGCAAAAACGCUUGGCUGCCCUGAAUUUCCCCACGGAUCUAACAAGUCUCGUUCCCUGCCCGCUCCCGCGGGAGGUGGGCGCGGGCUGGACAGUCUAGAGGGAGCCCCAGAUACCGAGUUGGAGAGACCUUCCCCGCAGGCCAGCUUUGCUCAGAAUAAGCUUCGAACAAGGAAUGGAAGAGCGAGGCUGGACAGCUCGCACGUGAUAUGAGGCAGGGGAUCCCGGCCCCCUUAAACAAGGGGCAUUUAUUACAGGAAAUGGACCUCCAUGAGAAACCAGGCUUCUUCCACGCAGCUCGAGUUCCAGCUUUGUUCACCAGAAACGAGCCCCUGCGUGCAAGUCCGAACAGCACGGAGAGACAUCUAGUGGUUGAACGCCACGCUGCUCCCAAAACCACGACAGCAGCACUUGUCCGGCCUUCGGGCUUUCACUAAGUGCCACAAACCGGAAAAAAAGGCGUUGGCAAAACCAGGCGCAGCACAGCGCAGCGCGCGCUGAACGCAGCCCGAGCCCUUCCCAAGCCAGCGGCGCUCCCCCAGCUGCUGCGCAGGUCCUUGUGAGACUCUGUUAUAACCCACACCACUGUCCAAGCCUGAGGAAACCCAAAUGUCCCGCUCUUCACAGCGGUUAGAGCGCGGAUACACGCGUGACGCACGCAUAGCCCAUUCAGACAUUGCUAGACCCUCAGACCAGACAGGACCAUUAGGUAACCUAGACUCCGCCUGGAGAUCACAUGCUAGUACGUUUUACGCAUUUACCCCUCCAUUGAGUCAGGAGACCACAGAGAUCUCUUGGUUUCCUGUCUAAUCCAAAAGUUGCUCUGUAUAAUGAUCUUAUUACCGUUUAAAUGAAUCCCUCUUCCUUUUGGAGGAAGUGUCUUGUGGAUUUAUGCAAAUAUUUCUGCAAUGCACGUCAACACGGCAGAAAUACCCUUCAAUCAGCCUUCCAAAAAUACCACUCAUUUGCCUACUUGGCCCGAUGGGUAAGUAAAACUCUCAUCAUCCCCGGCCACUGGCGGUGACCUGAUUUUGUGUCUGACUUGGUUCAUUUUCAUGCUGCGGCAAGAGCGUCGCGGGUGCUCGAGCAGUCACCCGAAACAAAGCAGUCACCGCCUUUCAUAGCACUACCUUCAUUUACAUCAGCUAUUUGGCCCACUGUCGAUACGUGGAUUCACAAGGGAAGGAUCUGGUCUAGUCAGUCUGACUUUGCAUCAAAGGAGUUAAAAAAUGCACACGCACGUGACCUGAAUUAGCACUGCUACCACCCGACUGGAGAGGUGGUCCCUGGGUUAACUCGGAAGACCUGGGUUCAGGUUCCAGCCUUGCCACACACGGUCUGUGCAAGGCAGUAAAAGCCUUCCCGUUCCUCUCGCUCUAAUCAUGGGGAGAGAUGCAGCUCAUGACUUCUCUCUGCCUCCUGAGGUUAUUGCAAGACUCAACCCACGUGCGACUGUGAGGAGCUCAGUCGGCGGUGGUGGAAAGCAGCACAGAGCAAUCUCCGAUGAGCCGACCCACGCUUCACCUGCUUGCUAAACAUGCCACGAGUUCUGCCCCGCUCCGAAAUGGCUUCUGCCUCCUGCGUGUAGCUCGGGGGCUGUCGUCUCUCCAGACGCCUGGUACAUGCCACUCAGCAAGUGUAGCUUACUGAAGGGGCUGGCAUGUGAUUAGUGAAUUUAUGCACCAUUUACUUUAAUUGUUUGACCUCCAUGCAGUCAUAUUUCUUGGAGGGAACUGAAACAUUUCUUUCUUUCUUAUUAACUGUGCAAAUAAAGGAAGCCCUAAAGAGAUGCUCUUUGUAACCAGUAAUUACUGAGGAGUCAGAAAUUUGGCCAGACUCGAUAAUUGCUGUUGUUUCUUCAGGAGAAGGGGGGAAAAAUAAAGUUAGCAAGAAAAUCACCAACCCUACAAUUUAUUAAAUGAGUAAUUUCAUGUGUGUUAUGGCAUUUAAGCCAUGAAGAAGACAUCAAACUGGUCAAGGGAUCAAGUUUGCAUGCCUUGAUGUAUCUCAGUUUUUUGAAAAAUCUCCCUAAGAAGCAAUUUAACAUGAAGUCUGGCUCCAAAAGCAACUAGCCCUUUUGGAAAUCCCCAGAGGUCCGUGACCAGAGCUACGUGGCGGGGUGCGGCAUGCUUACUCUCCCAAUGUCAGCAAAAGUUGAAGAAAAAAAAUCACAUGCGGGCUGAAAGAGGGUGGCAGAGCCUGAUGCGGAGCCCGCCGAAACGGGACAGCACACGGGACGACUCGGUCCCCAACUCAGAUGUGGAAAGCAAAGGGCUGGAGAAAACAAAAGAGUGAAUCUUGUUUCGGGAUUUCCGAAGCACUGGAACGAUUUGUGGGAAGACUAACGCAUGCCGAACUGGGGACAGAGAGGGGGAGCCAGGGGGCUUUUAAAGUUGCACUCGCUCUAGACCAGAUUAAUAACACCUUUGCUUAAAAGAGAGGCAGAGGGAGGACGCUCUGCGAUGUUCAUGUUCUCGGGGCAGAUCACUGACCUGGAGACCCAAAGACGCUCCAGGGGCUUCCUGGUACAGCCCUGGCUUAGGGCAGCAAAGCGCUAGGGUUAAUCUCGCACAGAAAAAAUGCCUGUAAUUUUCACAGCUUCAAUUAGCUACCACUGCCACGGGUGUGAUCCAAGAACCUGCCUGGAAAGGACCGGGCUUCACUGAAAAUCUCUCCCAAGUCUUCCACUAAGCCAUGUGUGCGCUGUGGUAGGAAACCAGUAGGUUUUGGGUGGGCUCCCAGAGAACAGAGACAGGAUGCAUCCAGCUGAUAGUGAGGUGCACCACUAUCAGAUCAACACCUGUGUUUAAGGAGCUACCAAGUCAGGUGGAGAUAGGUCCUCAUUUCCUUCAUAGAGGACCUGUCCCGGUCCCAAACUUUUCCCUUUAUUUCUGUAAGCCAGCCUUGCUCCACUCAAGUCAAUACCAAGUAAUGAUCUUUACUCACAGAGUAGUCUGAAACGAAGCAGGACACAAACCUUCCCAAAGCCCUACAGACCCUGUCGCUCAACAACUUUCUAUACGACACGGCGCGUGUAACUGUGCAGUGAAGCCUGUAAUGAUCUUCGCACACCCUUUCAGGUACGCCAAGGCUCUUCCCAAUCAAGCGUGCACAACUCUACACCUGCCUGGCCCCUGCCCCCCAAACCUCUCAUUCCUCCUUUCCGUGACCAAACCUCAGAAAGCUGCAGGAGGGUUGUGGGGGUGUUGCAGAUAUUGGAGGUUCACCGUUCUACGGGUCCAGACAGAAACAUCAGCUAGAAAAAGUGAAAUGGUGCCUUCACAUAUUUUAACGAGCAAGCUCCUCGCAUGCAUCUUUCUAAAGAUUUGCAUCCGUCUUUUAAAAGACCUUUACACCGGCUUCUGAGUCUCUGCUGGCAUCAGGCUAGACCUUUUCCCUAGCUGCACAAGAAUGGCUAGAAACACCGGUGAAGCGCUGGCAUCCCCUGGUAAUGGGUGUGGUCCGAGACCCAGAUCGAUAUGAUAAGGUACCGAGGGCGUGGGGAGCUGUAAACCAGGCAUGCCUGCCCUACUAGAUACGAUGCAGGACAGCGUGGUACAGUAUGGAGGUUUUUCUGGGCCUCAGUUUGAGCUGGACAGAAAAGCCACAAGUGAGUUGUGUGCCAUACCAAGUGAUGGCUGUGAAAACCUUUAUCCUUCUCCUGCACAUAUCCGUGGGGGCCCGUGAACACUGCCUAGCGCUAGCGUGGUGCUGUGUGACCCGUCCCCGUAGUGCCAUGCCAGGCUCUCCACACUCACCCCAAUAUAAACCAGCAGUGAAGUAACCAGCCCAAACACAGCUGUAUUUACAAGCAUAAAGGAGGAUUUCCUCACUCUCCCAAACUGCCCCCUUUCUCGGACUUCCUCCUGGUCUUCUACAUCCCCGAGUCAGAGAGAAAACGACCCACCGAAUCCAGCUGCCGUACAGGGUCAGCAGGAUAGGCCUCACAGUCCCAUAGUCUGACCCAAGCUCCAGUACUUUGCUCCCUUGAAAACAAAAAGACUGUGGAAGGAAGGUGAGAUUAAUACCUUUUACAGACUUCUGAAAAUAGCUUCUCAGCAAACUGGGCUGCAUGUUCACACCCGAUGUGUAGAGCAACCAACGUGUGGGAACCCAAACCCAGGACGAUCCACAGAAAUGGGGCUUGCUAUGGACCUCCAGAGCUGGAAGUAAUCCAGCCAGGACUGGAAGGAUGGGGGUAACCACCAGGACGGUGCAGCAGGCAGGCUCAUUAGCGCACAUGGACCAAUGUGGCGUUUCAGCACGAUGCUGCCUGGCGCCUUCCUCAGCUGGCUGAGAUGCCUGCCAUGGCGAACAGGGAGCAGCUGCUUUGCCUGGCUUGUAAAGAUUCAGGACGAUAUUUUCCAAAUCGGAGAUGAAACUCACAGCUAAGGGACUCUGGGAAAUUUGGAGCCACCCUGGAGAACUGGCAGCGGUUGCUCACUUUGCCAACACACUGCCAUCUGUCAGGGAUACGCCCAGAUGUUACGGUCUAUCAGGGGAGGGGGCUCCCAUUUCUAGUCCUGACGGUUUGCAUGAAUUUGGAUCUUACUGGGCCAGGACUGUGUCUUGCUCUGCACGUCAGAUCAGCAUAAUCUGAGGGGGAAAGAGAGUUCCACAUUUGCAAGGAAAGGAGGAAAAUAAUUUAAGAAAGUUUGUGCAAAACUAAUAGCGGAGCUUGCUGGAAGCUUCUCAGAGGUUUGGAAAACAAGAAGUAGACCCAGCACAGGCGUAUUACUGGGUAGGGGACAGGGGAGGAAGCCCAAGGUGGAUCAGCACUACCAUUUUAUCAUGUAGCAAUUCCCAUCCUACAUAUAGUAGGAAGAGUUAUACCCAUCCCAAUUAAUCCUGUGUGCGCAUUGUGGACAUCUACCAGUACGACCAGCCCCAACACAGUUGUUUCAGGCAGAAAAUAAAGAAGGGCAUUUUCAGCUGACACUUUGAGAGGAAUGACAUGGAAGCAGACUACAGGUACCAGUGAUAAAACUUGCCCUUGACCUCUGUUGGGGGAGUCUGUGAUGGCCUCAAGGGGUUUGGACCUUGCUCACAUCCCAUGUAAAAGGCAACUCAACACUUGUUAACAAGACUAGUACCAGGACUGGACACCAGGAAAGAAACUCAGCAUAGUCUCACUUCCAACCCCUCGUGGGUUUGCCUUGGAUGUCUUCUACCCAAGAACCGACUAAACUUAGCCCCACUCGGCUGGUGAGAGCUGACCGUACCCCAGCCCACGACACAACGGCUGCUCGCAGGUUUGGAGGGUUAUUCAUUUCAGAGGAAGCAGCCAAUACAGUAGAAGAGGAACAUUUUAAAGGUGUGUCUAUACAACAGACCCCAGCCAUCACGCAUACAGGUCAGCAGCACAGACACAGCCCAUGGCCACAAAGCAGUACUCUGUUCCCAGACCUGGGGGCACUGGGGGAAAGAUUAUUCUGCAAGAGCUGAAGUCUGCGCUAAAAAGAUUUAUACUUUUCUUUUAAAAUGUAAGAAUUUAACUUUUGGACCCUCAGAAUCUGCUGGUAAGAGUUGCUGCGCUAUGUAUGACAAGUGCACGUGACAUCCGUGGAAGCUGCAAAAGACUGGCACAAAGUCAGACCCCGCUUAUGCAAACAGAAAUCAUGAUGCACUUACUCAUUCAUAACUAGUGAGCACUCAUGUCUGCCAGCAGUUUCAGUGGACAGGGAUCCAGAGCACAAUAUUAGUUCAUUCAUUAAGUAAUAAUGAAUAUAGUCCUUUGAAAAGGAAAAAAAAAAAUUGUUUCAAGCAAGAGGACAAGACCGUGAGAAAAUGCUUCAUUCUCAGCAGAUGCAGUUAUUAACAGCAAUGCGACGUGUGCAGUACAGGCAGCACGUGCGUAGGACUGGAGCAGGUCGACCGUGUGACAGAUCUACUGGAAACCCUGGGAGUGUCAGGGGAAAGAUUAUUCUGAGCCAAAAUUUAAGCUAAAAUGAUUUACAUUUUUUUUUAUGUUGAAUAAUUUAUGUUUUUAAUCCUAAUGCAUCAGUAAUGGGAAGGUGAACCAUGGAAAGAAAAGAAACCUAUUUCCUACAUUAAAGUGACAUCGGGGCUCCCCAGCCUCAUUCGGUAUGGCAGGAGGGAUGGCUCUUCAUUUUCUUCAGGUCCCAGAACAGUAGCCUGCUUGCCUGUCUACGUUGUUCUUUUGCUGGCGGGGAAAGCUCUCCGUUAAUCAGGUCUCCCAAGUGUAACUGUAAACACUGGAAACAGACUUCAUGCUUGGAGCAGUCUGAGCCCUGAUACCGCGAAUGCGGAAGGCUUUGAAAGUUUCCCACUCCAGCUCCUCCGAGCAGCGAUCGGAUCUCGCAGGCGCUGGCUGCAUUUCAUUUCCCCCUCGCUGGAGCAACCCCUAUGGAACGGCUUUGUCCCUCUUCAAGUUCCUUUUUCUGGGAGGAAGGAGUCAAACUUCCUCAGGUUUUCUUCACUAGGGCUCCUUGCUUUGAGAGGAAGGGUGAUCUUGUGAUCAAGGCACUCACUGGGGCUCAAUCCAGAGUUCUGGGUUCAAUCAAUUAAUCAAUGAUUAUUGAUUAUUUGCAUUAGAUUAGGGCACCACCUAGGAGCCUGCUCGUGGACCAGGACCCCGACAUAUUAGGUGUUGUAUAAAACAAUGCUGGCCCCUGCUCCAAAGAGGCUGCAUCCCAGUAUAAUACGAGGAACAACCACAGAUUCGAGGGUGGAAGACAGGAGCCUGCCGGUUCUAAUCCUGCUCCCACGCUGGUUUGCUGUGCAGCCUUGGCUAGUCAGUCACUGCCCGUGGGUUCAAUUCCUGCCCGCACCUGCACAGCCCUACUGAAGUCGCCUGCCAGGGCUGGACCCAUGUGCUUGCUGCUUUUAGCUCGGCCUCUCUCUGCAAAAGGGCCAUGACUGUUCUUAAUGAGAUAACAGACUUCUGAGGCUAUCUGGCCUUCAGCUUUCUCCAUGUAGUUGUAGUGACUUCAAGGCGGCUCCAGAGGUACCAGCAAUAACACCCGAUGUGUUUAAAGCCUCAGUCAAGGGCUACGCUUCACUGCAGCGUCUGAAACCUCCAGCUCAGCUGGAGUACGACUGAAGGGGCCAGGCUUGCUUUACUCUGUGCCUGGCUGAAUUGGCGCGCAAGGGUGUAACAUCACUCUAAGACAUGGGCGGGCAAUUAUUUUGGGCAGAGGGCUACUUACUGAGUUUUGGCAAGCCAUCGAGGGCCACAUGACAGGCAGCCAGGGGCAGAUUAGUAUUAAUUUUCUAAAUUUUUUAGGGGCCCCACAAGCUGGAUAGAAUGGCCUAGCGGCCGCAUUUUACCCACCCCUGCUCUAAGACAAUAAGGGAAAAGAGAGAGAGAGAGACUUAAAUUACACUGUUUCCUCCAAGGGAAGAUCAAAUUUGCACUCACGAGGCCCUGCAUGUAGCGAGACCAGGUUCGCUCAACUCUCAGCGAGGAGCUCACCCACAGAUGUUUGACCGUGGCUGCAGAAGGGAUCUGGGCACUGGGAAGUGGGUCCAACUCACUCCAGCCUUGUUCGCUGUCCUCUCUGUGAGCCAUCCCUAACACAACCCACCUCUCCCAACUUCUUGAAACGUUUGGCUGGUGGUUUGAAACCUUGAAGAUAUUCCUUCAAAAAUGACACGGAGGCUGAGACGGGAGGAGGUGUCAAGAAGACAAGAACAGCUGACUGCGCUGACGGCUCGAGGAACACAAGGAUGGAGCACUGGGUCCAAGAUCUGAUCCAAGCCAUGAAGAGUUUUAGCAAAAUAAAGAUUUGGAGGCAGAACCGAGGCAUUGCAGAGGGAGAUUCCUCCAACUGCAGGCAGUGCUCUGGGGUGUCAGCAAAAGAACUCCGACACGAGCAGCAACGUUCCCUGCCAGGGUUGCUCUGUGUCCACAUUUUCAAAGCCCACGGCCGCUCUUGUGACUGAUUGCGGGUGAAAGCAACAGACACCACCAAAACCUCGUGACACCACCAGUGACGCCUCACCCCAACCGCUCGGCGGGCGCUCCUUAGAUCAGCUGCUACGUUCUACCACUGCUUGUGCCUGCCACCGACUACGGGCGCAAAGCCAGGGCUCAGGCUGAGGUCCCUUGAAGACAGGCCUGCCAGUGAUUCAACACGCUGCCCUGACACUUCUGCUCGCAUCACAUAUGGGAUUUAAUCUGGUUAAGAGCCAACACGGGCCCCAGCUAUUGCACUCCCACCACAGCAUGCCAGCUGCACUGCAGCAGCCCGAUCCAAGCUGCAAGGGUCAGUGGGAUGCAGUGCAGGGCUCCAGACUGACCUGUUCUAGGAUUCAGGCUCAAAUUCCUAACCCCUCCCCUUCAAAUCCAGGGGGGUCAUGGUCUGCAGUUACGAUUUAGGCUCAUCGUGAGUUAAAAAGCUCGCUGAAGGACAGACCCAAAGUAAGCAAAUCCCAGGAAAAAGCUCUCUGCUCCAAAGGCUUGGCGAAGGGGGUAGAGGAAGACCAGACACAAGGGAGUGGUGCGUGCAGACAGAGCGUGCCUCUGUUUGAACACCAAGAAGAACAUUUGCUUGGGGAAUUUCUCUCCAUUUGAGAAGAUGAUGCCCAUGGCUUUCCCAGGACCCUGUUACAAAUGGCUGCUUCUUUCCAUACUAAGGAUGCUUUUCCUGUCAAACCAGAUCAACCCAAUCCCCACCAAGUGCUAUAUCCUGCCUCUAGCACUGCCUGCCUGCCGCUGCAAGAGAACAGACAGCACAAAGCAUCUUGCCAAUCAUGCAGGGCUGCAGAUGAAGGGGAGAACCGUCAUCGCCCUGCAGGAACGAGCUCCUGAUGUGAAUCGGGAGGUGUGGUCACACCGUGCGGAGCCAAGUGUGUUUAUUGGCAGUGACUUCAUCCAGCCCCUUUUACCAACCAACCGGCUAGAGGAUUUAACUCAAUGGUUCCCCUGUGGCCAUGAGCUCUAGCAGCUGAUCACACGCAGCGUAUAACAGGGCUCUGGUACUGGGAGCUGCCCAGCGGUGGGUUAGCUGUGAAAACCACAUCUGGUUUCAUGACUGACUGUGUCAUUUUACAUGCAAUACUUCCUCACCAUUUCGUGCGUGUGUGUGUGCGUGUGCAUGAAGAGGCACUUUUAUUUCUGGUUCAGUACAGACUGAAGGACAGUGAGGUACAACAUAUACGAAAAAGCACUUCUACAGAACAGAUUUCCAUCACGCCUCGAAACAGACCCCAAGCCUCUUCAGCCAAACUGAGAGCACGCUUAUGACCUUCCUGGUUGACAAACUCUGAACAAAUCUCUCUGGAAAAAGUCCCUCUCAGUCCCAGAGUUGGUGAUAAAAAGCCCCUGGGUUCUACAGCAAGCGGGGCUGUGUUGCACUGAUACGUAUUCAGGCCUUGGAUUAUACAGCAAGGAAACAGUACAUUUUUUGUGCAAUCAGCCCCUUGCAAGCGCUCUAUAGCUGUGCCCUGACAGAAGUGUGCGGCUGCAGAGCGCUUUAAAAGUGAACAUCAGGAGACCUGGCUUCUAGUCCCGACUAACUCACUGCGUGACUUUGGGCUGGCACUCGGCUAAUUUGGACCUGCUUCCAUCCCCACUUUGGGCUGCUGGGUCUCUUUAGAUGACGUGAUUGUGAGGCUGGGCUUGUGUUUUGGGGUAUACUUACAGUGUCUAGCACCAUGGGCGCCCAGUUCCAGUUAGGGGAGUAUUGCAAUAGGAAUAAUUAUGGUAUUUGUUGCUUUUUAAAAAGUUUUAAAUUGCAUCACUUCGGUGUUUAUUUUUCCAAAUAAAUCCUACAUCAAACUGGCUAGGGGGUAACACUAAGCACCUCAGUCCUUGUCCCCAAAAUAAAAUAAAAAAGAAUCGAAGACAAACUAGACCACAUAAAACCAAGCUGCAUGGAUCUCAGCAGCUUGUUACACCGUGUGCCUGCCUGGCCUUCCUUCAAGCCGAGCAGAUGGCAUAACAACAGCCGCAACAGAAAAAUUUUAAAGCAUAUUUAGAAGGCUCAGACCAUUUCCCUUUCAUUUUGGACACCAACAGCUUUAGUAGAGUGAACAAACUGCUUUAUGGUCCAUGGGGGUAGCACUGAGUGAUCUACACUAAAGGAGAGGAAGACUUGAGCAAAGGACUUCAGUGAAAUACCAAGCAGACAGUAUAAGGCAGCCCCACGUUCCUAAGAAGCAGGAAAACGGCUUCAUCCGUUAACACGAGAGAAGCAAAACACAUACGGUGUCUGUACAGCACCUAGCACGAAGGAGCUCCACCCAGAGAUCCUCAGUACCACCACAAUGCAAUCAUUCUGCCACCUGCCUACCUGAGCGUGCCAACAGUCAGGGAGGCAGCCAGGCGAAAUUUUAAGGCCCAAACAAUGUGGAUCCCAAACUGGGGCAGCCACAUUCACUUCAGAGAUGCCAUCAGCUCAGCUCUGUGCAAGCGAUAGGUCAAAACAAAGCCCGAGAACUUUCUAUCCUCCAGCUGCAGUUGUAGACCAUCCCCCUUUGCAGCGCUUGCCAGCCGCACGCAGCAGCACCGAGAACCUGAAAGCAAAACUAACUACAAACUAAAGAGGGUAACUACAGGCUUCAAGACCGUACCAUGGGCUGCAGUGAGAGACAUGCAAAAAGAAGAAAUGAACAGAGCGGAGGAAACUUGACUUGUAAGUCCCUUUUCAUUUUAAUAAUCUAAGAAACCCCAGCUAAGGAAAUGGGCUUCUUUAUAACGAGGCCAACUCCUGAGAAGUGCUGAGAGCCACUGGCUUCAAUUAGAUCUGCAGGUGCUCUGCACACCUCAGGGUUUGAACCAAUGCUGCUUUUUUAAGCCAAUGGCAUUUUCCCAAGUGCCAUCUGGGAUGGAAGAGCAAAACCAGGCUGCAGUGAGCGUGUUACUAGCACUGCGGGAGUGAGCAAAGAGAAGGGUAGACACAAGCAGCAUUCAACACACACACGGUGUGGGCACAUCACACACAGUGUUUCCAAGAAACCCCGUACACACUGCAAAUCACACGGUGUUACAAGCGCUCUAAAAACAUGCCAGCGUCAUAGAAUUAACACAGACGUAUCACAAUAAAAAGCCACUUCUUCAUGACACCCCCCCAGAGCAACACGCGGUACGGUCAGCUUUGCUGGGCCCAUGCUCUGCUACUGGCCAGUUCCAAAUAAAAUACAUAACUUACUUCUUGGUUCCCGGGGUCCAUCCACAGUCACUUUAAUAGCUCGGUGAUAGGUGGCAACUUGCGUGGGGUUUGUGAACACGGUGAUGGUCAGCGUAAAGCUUUUCCCUAAGGGGAGGGUUGGGGGGAAAAGAGGAGAGAAAAUAUAUGUAAGUUCAUUUCUUGAGCAGGCAGAUAGGCCUCGAGUUGCGCACUGCUACUGCUGGGAGCUUUGGCACUGACACCAGUACAAGCAAGAUCAGGCUCAAAUUUAGUAAGUUUUUGGAAAACCACUAAAAUAGCUGCACAAAAGAAAGUAAGGGAGCAUGUGAGAUACAUUUGUGUGUGCUACAAUUUAUGAGGCAUCACUUGGUGCUGGCAGAGAAGGGGCCAGUAGCAAAGUUCCUGCUAAUUGUAACGAGAAGAGGACUGGGAUUACUUCAGUGUGAACGGCUGAGCCUGUCCUGACACAGUACAAUGGCUGUAGCUGUCUCCCCACCAACACCCCCCUGCACCUCAAACAGCUCCCUUGCUCCUCGUGCAGAGAAGCUGUCCCCUCCCUCUACACUCAGUGCUUUAAGCUGGCUUCCCACUGGAUCUCUUCACUUCCCAACCCCUGGUCCCCAAGGGCCUGAUUCUGCAACCGCUAGUCUAGUAGCACUUCUUCAGUCCUAACGAGUGCUUGCAUGAGCUUCUCUGCAAGAGUAAUGUUUGCAACUGAUGGGAAAGGCAACCCUUCCUGUAGUCACCGCUGUGAUUGUAGCAUAGUGCAGUCAAAUCCAAGCUAACUCAGGUACGGAUAGCAGUCUGACCACGAUAACGCAGAGUUCAUCAGCCUGGCCCCUGCUGAUCCCUGUCCACAGCAACUAGCCGGCUAUCCAUACCCAUGCUAGCUCGCUCAGGUGUGCCUACACCAUAGUGCUGUCACAGCAAUAACUGCAGUGCAGACAGGCAGAUGGACACCAGCAGACACACACACAAAAAUAAUAAAGUGAAAUGCAAAAGAGAAAGGAGAAAGUGAAGCCCCGAUCCUGCAAGCACCUGCUACCAAAAGGAACAAUUCCCACCAUGUACGGUAUAUGUGGUUUUGCUGACUGCAACGGGACUGCUCCUCACUUGUACGAACUUGACUGGUAAAGCCAUUAUUGGACUUUAUCAUCAGAAAAAGUCCUUGUUUCCUUCCAGCUGUUCUCCACCCUCUCUGCUCCUUAUGUUAUUGGUGUUCUUCGCUAUGUAUUUCUGGAGACAGCUGAAUCUUGGCCCUGAAGUGCCCCAGACUUUGGAGGUAAAUAUAAAAAGAAAGCAGGAUCCAGACCACCACUACUUUCGGUUUUGCAAAGGCAAAAGCAGAGCAGCAAGAGGUUGACGGUCUCUCUGCUGCCUUAUUCAGAUGAUGGGCUCUGACCCAUUUCCUCACUUGCCUAAGCAGCACCUUACGGUACUGGGAGACAGGAAUGAAAAUACUGUAUCAGGACACCGUCUGAUAAGAAAAAAAGCUUUAUAUCAUUAACACUAGGGUGGGGUUUUAAAUCACCUUGUUCAAGUUAGCAGCGCUCUGUCUGUAAGAGAGGGAUACCUUCCUGAAAUGGCUUGAGAAAAUUCCCUGUUCUCAUCAGUAUUGUGAUAGUGCUUUGCACUAAUGCAGCACAUCUUCAACUACAGAAUGAAAAUGCUUUGUGGAGGUGUGUGCCACUGCUCUCUCCAUCUUACAGAUAGGGAAGCAGAGGCACAGAGAAGCUAUGUGGCUUGCCCAAGACCACAUGGUGGCUCAGCAGCAGAGACAGGAGUGGAAAUUAGCUCUCCAGAUGCCCAUAUAUACCACUGUUCUCACCAAGACACAGUGCUUCCUUUUAGUCCCAACAACAGAACCCGAAGGGCAGCUCCUCAGCUGAUGUGAAUGGACACAACCACAAUAGUCUACCCCAGCUGAAGACCUACCUCCAAGAAUCUUGCCCUCCACCUGCUUUCUAACCCCGCAACCAGGGGUGGCCAGGCUGCUGCGGAAGUGGCACAGGCAGACUGCAUGUAGGACACGUGGCAGAUGGGGGCAGCGGCAGAUAGGGCAGAAAGUAGAGCCUCAGAUUCAGGGAGCACAGGGGAGGGAGCAGAGAGCAGGUAGGGAAAGGGGAUCCAAGCAGCACGCUGAGAGAGCGUGGAGUAAAUUUGUGGCACACCUGCCAAAAAGGUUGGCCCGUGCUGCGCUAGAUCAUACCUCCCUCUGGGAGCUCGGAGCAGAACCCAAGAUCUCCUAGCGCUAUACUCCAACUCCUAGACCACUCGAUCCUCUCCGGGGUUGAAACACAACCCUGAUCCCUGGCCCUGUGCUCCAGUCACUGCAUCACAGCUGACCUUCAUGAAUGGACUGCACCCAUCACUAGUGGAGGUUCAUUGAUGUUAUCACCAGACUCGCUGUCUAGCCAACAUGCAGGAUUUAACAAUGCCAUUUUAUAAUGGAUCCUAUUCUUGCCAGCUUUCAGGACUGUUUACAUUAGGAACCUGUAGCUUUCCCCUUGACUACAGCCACAAAGAGCUAUUGCGACCAUUUAGCGUCUCGAGACAGCGAUGUGCAACACAGCAAGUUUCAUUAUCUUCCUGGAACAGAAAUCUCUAUCAACAAGUUGGACAGGUGGGUGUAUAAGACCAAAACCAUAUUAUCAACCAUCACAGAGCGUGCAGGAUGUGUGGGAUUUUCAAGAAGCAUCUGGUGACACAGAGACACAAGCCCCAACAAAAGUCACCUAGGUUUCUAAGUCACUGAGGACUAGGUCGUUUGGGAUUUCAACGGGAGUUUAGGCACUUCAGUAGGAGUUGGGCAGGUAAAACCCCUUUUGGAUCUGGCCCUUCUGAAGGUAUCCUGCUUUUCCCAGUGCCACUCCAGGCACGAAUGUUAUCAAAUCUCUGAGCAGCAAAACAUUUGUCUGCACCUAUCUGAAUUUAUCAUCACGUUCAGGUUUCCGUGAUCACCCACCCAAGAGCUUGAAGUCCCCUGACCAGGGACAAAAGCGAAUAUUAAAAUUAAAUUAUUUAUUCCUACAAAAAAUUAAAUGAAAAAACAUGGAUUUUCUCCAAAUAGGACAUCCCAUAAUUACUCUAGCAAAUUAGUUUCCUUGCGAGAUUAUUGUGGAAAUGACUGAUUUGAAGUGGGUACUGACAAAAAAGUGAAAAGAUGAAAUUCACGUCUGGGGAAAAAAAAUUGUGGCAAAACUGUAUCUGGGCUUCAAAGUAAGACUUAAAUGGUACAUGUGCCUUGCACUGAUUUUCCACAUAAGAGUGAAUUUUUAAGUCGUAAAUACAAGGAUUUGUACUGACAACCCUUAUUUAAGAGUUGCACUCCUCCAGACUGGGAGACAAAAAAAUCAACCAUACGAGCUCUGCAUCCAAUUAAAAAUAACCAGCAUAGCGAGAAUGUCCAGUUCUCAAUUAAGCCCUUUACAGAUCAGGAAUUAGUAAAAGAAUUAUUCAAGGAACAAGUUCAAAUAUAGGGAAUGACAUUUGUUUGUCUGCAGCUCAGAGUGGAGAACAGAAAUUUUCCAGGAAAAUCAUUUUUAAUGAGGUGCAACACAAAUACAAGCAUAAUAUUUUUCAGAUUAUCAGCCUAGCCUGAUGCCUCAAAUGAAGGCUUGGGAAAUAAAAAUCUGGGAUUGUACUUCCAGCUCUGCCACUUCCUACCCCCCUCAAUUUGGCAAAUGGCUCUAAGUUCUCUGCAUUCAACUUUAAAAAAUCCAGAUAACGACCAAAAGAAAACCUGCCGCCUUCACUGUGGGGUAUGAUCUUCAGCAGGAAUAAACUGAGAGCAGCAUUUAGAAAUGCUGGGAUACAGCAGCAUACAGCUCAUUCCCAUCCUUCUCCAGGGACAAUAAAAGCAAGUUUAUGACAGCAGUCAUUCUGGGACGUGAAUCUGCACAGAAAACCUCGAAUCAAGUUCCAAGCUUCCUCUGCUAAUUACGAGACAGCCUCCACAGAUCGUGCUCCAUAAAGAGUCCCGCGAUUUCCGUGGUAUGCUCCCAGUGCAAGAUGCUGUACAGAAGGACUCAACCUUUUUCUGAACCUCAGCUCUGCCUCUGCCCAAAGGGGCUAGUGACAGCUUCUCUCUCGCACUCUCUUGUCUGUGUAGCCUGUGGGCCUCUCCAAGCCCGUCUCCCCCAUGCCACUCAAAACAGAGGCCCUAGUCUUACAUUAAUCCAAGCGCUACUUAAAGCAAGAGAGUAAUAAUGAUGCCACAAAUUAACCCAUAUUAACAGACUGCUUCAAAUGAGAGCUUGGAGUUGAUACAAGCUCAGGAUGUUUACACAGACAGUUCAUGCUUCCCUGUGCCUCCACAUUUAUAUAUCAAUUUGACAGCAGAUACGGAAACAUGUACAUGAAGAUCCCACUCCCUCUAAAUACCAAAGUCACUCCAGACUUCUGUUGGAGCAAGUAAGAGUGGAAAUUGGUCCUUUUGGGGAGUUGAAAAGAUCCAACAGCUGAAUCCAGUGCAUGCACUAACCAGUAACUAGGCAGAAAUGUGUUUUGUCCCCAGGUGCUGAGCUCUUGUUCCAGAGCUGCCUGCCUCCCCGCAAACGCACACCAGGUGUAAGCACUUCACCAAGCACCUGGCUAAAAUGAAGGUGACCCUGCAGAGAACUGGAGCAUCCGCCUAGGUACAGUCCAUUCACCGCAGGUGCCCAUGAACUCCACUGAUAACAGCAAUAUAUAUCAUCUAGCUCUUCUGGUCCUCAUACACAUUCUGUAUAGCAACAUUACUUGAGAUGGAGGGAUUGUGUCUCUUCAGGCUGGAUCCUGCAUUUCUGCUCUGACAGCCAUCUGCACCAACCCCCACCCCUGAAUUCAGGAGCUCAGGCUGUCCUCAUUAUAAAAGACAAAACAAACAUUUUAGGAUCCAGGUUUGACACGGGCACGUGCAUUUGUUCGUUCACAUAAGGCCUAAUCCGAAGCCUAAUAAAGCCAAAGGAAAGGAUUUGGGGUGUUUUUUUUUAAUUUUUCCAUUGCUUGUAAUGAGCUUUGAUCAAGCCCAUGGUGGAGAAGGGAAACUAUACACCUAAAUGCUUUCAAGAGACUGUAAACUACUGUUGCUGCAGAGCAUGAAGAUAGUAUUCCAGUGGAGGAAAGCUAAUAAUGAGUUCAAGAAUCAGGCUGAGAUUGGGUUGCAUUCAGUUUGGAAAUUUGUGUGUGAGGAUGAAAAAAAAAAAAAAAAAAAGGGG